rnacentral:tRNA from 1 species
GCGGGAGUAGCUCAGUUGGUUAGAGCGUCUGGUUGUGGUCCAGAAGGUCGUGCGUUCGACCCGCACCUUCCGCCCCA